rnacentral:lncRNA from 1 species
GUGGAAGCUGAUCCACAUUUCUAGGCCUUCAUCCAGACCACACGUAGUUCAUAGGAAUGUUAUAAAUUCAUUUGAUAGUACAUGUAUCAGAUUACUUUGGAAUAUAUGAGAUUUCUUUUCUUCUGCUGAUGAAACUUCCAGCAAAGGAAACUCUGCCGAAGUCACUUCUUUGAUCUUUUCCCCAUCACCUAGCUUUCAUCCAGCUUUUGGAAGCAGC